CUUUGCACACGCGGGAGCUCGGAGCACCGGGCUGAGAGGGCGCUGAAAGCCGUACGAACCGUACGGAAGCGGCUGCGCCGACCGCCGAACCUGUUACCGGGUAAUGCCGGCGUAGGGAGUAGGUCUCAUGACCAU
rnacentral:ncRNA from 1 species